AAAUUUCUUUUUGGACCUACUGAAAACAUUUUAGAUGUUCUCUGACAAACUUUAAAGCCUUUUCAAGACCUAGAAAUUAGCUCAGAGUGGGAAAUAAAUCCGUCAGCUCAUAUGUUACAUGGACUGAGCUGAACCUUUAUGCUGAAAAAGCCCUUCCAUGCUGGGACUCUCUUGUGAAGAGCAGAUUCACCCCAUUGGUAUGUCUCCCUCCAGAAUCCAGGACAUGCCCAUCCUUUCAAAUGAUAGAAACAUCAAUUAUGCUGGGCUACAGCACAGUUGUCCUCCUACACCAGAUACUCUAAAUUGAAAAAAAUCCCAGUACCAGCCAAAGAGUCUUUGAAAAGCCCUGGGCCUAAUGACUAAUUUGCUUUCUAUACAAAGACUUUGUAUGGAAUUUGUUACAUGUGUGACACGGUUCUGCUGAGCUCCAUUUUUCA